rnacentral:rRNA from 1 species
UACGUAGGGACCAAGCGUUGUUCGGAUUUACUGGGCGUAAAGGGCGCGUAGGCGGCAAUUCAAGUCAGCUGUGAAAUCUCCGGGCUUAACUCGGAACGGUCAGCUGAUACUGCUUUGCUAGAGUGCAGAAGGGGCAAUCGGAAUUCUUGGUGUAGCGGUGAAAUGCGUAGAUAUCGGGAGGAACACCAGUGGCGAAGGCGACUUCCUGGCCUGUUCUUGACGCUGAGGCGCGAAAGCUAGGGUAGCAAACGGG